rnacentral:lncRNA from 1 species
UUUUUUUUUUUUAAAGAUUUUAUUUAUCCAUUCAUGAGAGACACACACAGAGAGAAUGGCAGAGACACAGUCAGAGGGAGAAGCAGGCUCCAUGCAGGGAGCCCGACGUGGGACUCGAUCCCAGGAUUCCAGGAUCACACCCGGAGCCGGAAGACAGACGCCCAACCACCGAGCCACCCAAGAGUCCCGAAAUAUAGCUAAUCCAGUUAUAGGAUGACUAGCCAUAGUAGAUUAAGUGGAAAGUUUAUAUCUAAGAAUAUCUGCUAUGACCUGAGUGAGGAUAUGUAAUUGAAUUUCUUUCCACACAUACACACACACACACACACACACACACACACACACACACGGGUGCAUGCAUGCACACACAUGCAUAUACACCUGCCUACACACAUCUCCAUAGAUCAUCUCUGGCUUUCAAAAUAAAUCACAAAAGAAUACUUUAAAGUAGAAAUGGGCAUCCUCAUGUAAAAAAAAUAGAAAGCAUCAUCUUUCAGGUUUUAUUGCAGUCUCUCAUUUUAUUCAUCAAGUGUUCAAGGAGAGCUGAGAAGUUGCGUGGGCUGAUUGCUUAGUUCUAUGUGUGUAUUGAAGAGAAACAGAAAACCCAUUGAGAUGUGUGCAUUACGGUGAUUAAGAAUCCAGGUGCUUCAGGUUUAAGAAUUUUAAAGAUGACUUUGAACAAAAUAUUUUCUUUUAGGUAUAGAGCUAGACACUCAUUCAAGGGUCCUGGAAAGACAACGGAGUUUGUUUUGCCACUUUUUGCCAAUAGAAUAUCAAAUUAAGGAAUUAUUUUACAUGUAUUAUUGGAAGGGAUGUUCGGAUUUGUUUCAGUCCUGGUUGGUGAGCAGUCUCUUACAAUUCCUGUUUAAUUCCAUGUGUGGCUUCUUAAAGGAAAAUGCUCGUCUCUCUCCUCUCUGUCUGCACAGUUAAUGAUGAGAAGGGUUUGCCAAAUUUUGGGCUUGUCUUUCCUUCUUUCAGUCUUCCACUUGUUUUUCUUCUAUGCAGCUCUCAUUUUGGUUUAAAUACUAGAGGUAUUAUAAUAGUCUUCUACGUGGGAUAUUUUUGUUUUACUUUAAAAUACUUCAUAAGUCUAAACACAGAUCUAUACAAAAAGUAUCACACAUAUAUUACCUAUGUAGCACUGUCAGGUAUAAUGUCCACAGAAGCUCAGAGAGGGGGGUGAUUUGCCCAAUCACUUCUUGCUCUGGGGAAGUGUCAUUCCUCUGAUAACUGAGUCAGGUUAGACUCAGUUUACCAAGCUGCACUCUAUCCUUGCUGUGCUGUAACAGGAUAUUCUUCACAUCUACUCUCCUGUGACCCUUUUCCUGGUCCCAAAUUGUUCCUUUCCAGGAAGAGUGAGUAAGAUUACAGCCUUGGCCAGACAUUGUCAGCAUUUUACUGACAUUACCAAUGAAUAAUGUGCAAUAAUGUGCUUCUGGGUUUGUGCUUACCUGAUAGCCGGCCGGAGUCAUUGUUUUAUUUUACACUAGAUUCCAAUUUUAACACUG